UACGAAGGGGGCUAGCGUUGUUCGGAAUUACUGGGCGUAAAGCGUGCGCAGGCGGCUUCUCAAGUCAGGGGUGAAAGCCCAGAGCUCAACUCUGGAAUUGCCUUUGAGACUGAGUGGCUUGAGUACGAGAGAGGUGAGUGGAAUUCCCAGUGUAGAGGUGAAAUUCGUAGAUAUUGGGAAGAACACCGGUGGCGAAGGCGGCUCACUGGCUCGUAACUGACGCUGAGGCGCGAAAGCGUGGGGAGCAAACAGG
rnacentral:rRNA from 1 species